rnacentral:rRNA from 1 species
AUGGCCGGCCGGAGCAGCAGCCGUUCCAUGGUGUCCGCGCACCGGCUCUUCGCGCCGGCGCCCGCGCGCACCCUGCAGCACGCGGCCGACCCGGCCCUGGAGCUCGACGAGGCCGACAUCAUCUGGGGCGGCGCGGCGCUGGCGUCUUCCCCGCCGGCCGACGCGUACGGGCGGGCCCUGUCCGCGUCCACUCCCUCCAGGGCCUCCAAGCCGCGCGCCGCGGCGCCGCGGGAUGCCGCCGGUGGCGGUGGCGGCGUCGGGGGCCCGGCGUCGCUGCCCGUCAACAUCCCCGACUGGUCCAAGAUCCUGGGGGCGGAGUACGGCGGGGGCAGCGCCGGCGCGGGGCGGUGGCCGUCGGACGAUCGCGGGGACGCGUACCUGGACCGCGGCGACCGGCAGUGGGUGCCGCCGCACGAGCAGCUCAUGUACCGGGAGCGCGCCGCGGCGUCCUUCUCGGUGCGCGAGGGCGCCGGGCGCACGCUCAAGGGCCGCGACCUCCGCCGCGUCCGCAACGCCAUCUGGGAGAAGACCGGCUUCCAGGACUGA